CAUUGACUAUCCAAAUUACUGCGGCUCGCUUGAGAACGUCGUAAUAAAACAUAGGUAGUACCAUGAUGUAUAGAUACAUGGUGUAACGGUAUGUCAAAAGACAUAGUCAGCCAUGUUGAAAAAUCAGUUGACAUGGCAGAGGUUUGUUUAUUAAAAAAAUUAAGAUUUCAGUUGCGGUGGAUGAAGUAGUGAAGACGUGAAUUUGCCUAGGAUGUUUGUUGGAUAAUAUUACGAUAACGAUAAUCAUUCAAUGAAAUCCACCAAUUAAGACUCGUUUUCUUAAUUCACGAGGCUUAGAGUUUGACCAGAUUACUUUAAUACCCGGUAAAAUAUUUCAAAGAUGAGAGAAUCUUUGCGCAGUCUACCUACUGAUACUACUUUCCCGCAGAAUUAGGAACAUGCAAUGAGAGACAUUUAUGUUCACUUUCCAGAAAGUAUCACAAGUUUUACAAAUUCCCAGAGCAAAUUGAAUUUAAUUUUUAUAUUCAACGUACUCAAUGUGAACGUGUUCUACCCUUUACAAAAAAAACCUGCAACAAUGUUACAAGCGGAUUAUGUUUUGAGUGCUUGUUAGAAUUUUUGUUUAUAAAUUGUCUCUUUGAAAUUGAUCAA